rnacentral:rRNA from 1 species
GCUAGUUGAGCGUUUCCAGCCAACACGGAGACGCAGCGCACAGCUCAGUAACACGUGGCUAAUCUGCCCUUGGGACCGGAACACCCCCGGGAAACUGGGGCUAAUUCUCGAUAGGUGAAGAACUCUGGAAUGAGUCUUUGCCAAAAAGAUGCUAGAGUUAUGCUCUUUGGCAUCGCCCAAGGAUGAGGCCGCGACCGAUCAGGUUGUUGGUGAGGUAAUGGCUCACCAAGCCUUUUACCGGUGCGGGCCGUGAGAGCGGGAGCCCGGAGAUGGGCACUGAGACAAGGGCCCAGGCCCUACGGGGCGCAGCAGUCGCGAAAACUUUGCAAUACACGAAAGUGUGACAGGGCUAUCCCGAGUGCCAUCCGCUGAGGAAGGCUUUUACCCAGUCUAGAACGCUGGGGGAAUAAGGAGGGGGCAAGUCUGGUGUCAGCCGCCGCGGUAAUACCAGCUCUCCGAGUGGUGUGGAUGUUUAUUGGGCCUAAAGCAUCCGUAGCUGGCUAAGUUAGUCCCUUGUUAAAUCCACCGAAUUAAUCGUUGGAUUGCGGGGGAUACUGCUUGGCUAGGGGACGAGAGAGGCAGACGGUAUUUCCGGGGUAGGGGUGAAAUCCUAUAAUCCCGGGAAGACCACCAGUGGCGAAGGCUGUCUGCUAGAACGCGCCCGACGGUGAGGGAUGAAAGCUGGGGGAGCGAACCGGAUUAGAUACCCGGGUAGUCCCAGCUGUAAACGAUGC